rnacentral:rRNA from 1 species
CCUCGGGUGGCAGCAGUGGGGAAUAUUGGACAAUGGGCGAAAGCCUGAUCCAGCCAUGCCGCGUGUGUGAAGAAGGCCUUCGGGUUGUAAAGCACUUUCAGUGGGGAAGAAAGCCUUGGGGCUAAUACCCUCGAGGAAGGACAUCACCCACAGAAGAAGCACCGGCUAACUCCGUGCCAGCAGCCGCGGUAAUACGGAGGGUGCGAGCGUUAAUCGGAAUUACUGGGCGUAAAGCGCGCGUAGGCGGUCUGAUAAGCCGGUUGUGAAAGCCCCGGGCUCAACCUGGGAACGGCAUCCGGAACUGUCAGGCUAGAGUGCAGGAGAGGAAGGUAGAAUUCCCGGUGUAGCAGUGAAAUGCGUAGAGAUCGGGAGGAAUACCAGUGGCGAAGGCGGCCUUCUGGACUGACACUGACGCUGAGGUGCGAAAGCGUGGGUAGCAAACAGGAUUAGAUACCCCAGUAGUC